rnacentral:rRNA from 1 species
GACGAACGCUGGCGGCGUGCCUAAUACAUGCAAGUAGAACGCUGAAGAGAGGAGCUUGCUCUUCUUGAAUGAGUUGCGAACGGGUGAGUAACGCGUAGGUAACCUGCCUUGUAGCGGGGGAUAACUAUUGGAAACGAUAGCUAAUACCGCAUAACAAUGGGUGACACAUGUCAUUUAUUUGAAAGGGGCAAUUGCUCCACUACAAGAUGGACCUGCGUUGUAUUAGCUAGUAGGUGAGGUAACGGCUCACCUAGGCGACGAUACAUAGCCGACCUGAGAGGGUGAUCGGCNACACUGGGACUGAGACACGGCCCAGACUCCUACGGGAGGNAGCAGUANGNAAUCUUCCGCAAUGGGGGCAACCCUGACNGAGCAACGCC